GGAGUGUGGUGUAGUUGGUUAGCACAUGAGACUUUGACUCUCAGAGAUUCGGUUCGAAUCCGAACAUUCCUUCCA
rnacentral:tRNA from 1 species